UCGAACGGUAACAUAGCCUAGCUUGCUAGCUGAUGACGAGUGGCGGACGGGUGAGUAACGCGUAGGAAUCUACCUAUUAGUGGGGGACAACCUGGUGAAAACCAGGCUAAUACCGCAUACGCCCUACGGGGGAAAGCAGGGGAUCUUCGGACCUUGCGCUAUUAGAUGAGCCUGCGUUAGAUUAGCUUGUUGGUGAGGUAAAGGCUCACCAAGGCGACGAUCUAUAGCUGGUCUGAGAGGAUGAUCAGCCACACUGGGACUGAGACACGGCCCAGACUCCUACGGGAGGCAGCAGUGGGGAAUAUUGCGCAAUGGGCGAAAGCCUGACGCAGCCAUACCGCGUGUGUGAAGAAGGGUUUAGGCUCGUAAAGCACUUUAAGUAGGGAGGAAGGUCUGUAACUUAAUACGUUGCAGAAUUGACGUUACCUACAGAAUAAGCACCGGCUAACUCCGUGCCAGCAGCCGCGGUAAUACGGAGGGUGCAAGCGUUAAUCGGAAUUACUGGGCGUAAAGCGCGCGUAGGCAGUUUGUUAAGCGAGAUGUGAAAGCCCAGGGCUCAACCUUGGAACUGCAUUUCGAACUGGCAGGCUAGAGUACAAGAGAGGGUGGUAGAAUUUCCUGUGUAGCGGUGAAAUGCGUAGAUAUAGGAAGGAAUACCAGUGGCGAAGGCGGCCACCUGGCUUGAUACUGACGCUGAGGUGCGAAAGCGUGGGGAGCGAACAGGAUUAGAU
rnacentral:rRNA from 1 species